rnacentral:rRNA from 1 species
UUGGAGGGCAAGUCUGGUGCCAGCAGCCGCGGUAAUUCCAGCUCCAAUAGCGUAUAUUAAAGUUGUUGCAGUUAAAAAGCUCGUAGUUGAAUUUCGAGAUCAAUUUGUCGGUCGUGCCUCGGUACGUACUGGCAUUAUCGAUUUCCCCCUUCUGAAGAACCGCGAUGUCAUUAAUUUGGUGUCGUGGGGAAUCAGGACUGUUACUUUGAAAAAAUUAGAGUGUUUAAAGCAGGCGCACGCUUGAAUACAUUAGCAUGGAAUAAUGAAAUAGGACGUUUGAUUCUAUUUUGUUGGUUUCUAGGAUCGACGUAAUGAUUAAUAGGGAUAGUUGGGGGCAUUAGUAUUCAAUUGUCAGAGGUGAAAUUCUUGGAUUUAUUGAAGACUAACUACUGCGAAAGCAUUUGCCAAGGAUGUUUUCAUUAAUCAAGAACGAAAGUUAGGGGAUCGAAGACGAUUAGAUACCGUCGUAGUCUUAACCAUAAACUAUGCCGACUAGGGAUCGGAUGAUGUUAAUCUUUUAAUGACUCAUUCGGCGCCUUACGGGAAAC